rnacentral:ncRNA from 1 species
AUUGGGAAAGCCGAAAACCAUUUAGAGUAGGCA